CAAGGAAUAGUUUAAUUUAAAAUAAUAAUUUUGGGGAUUAUGGAAGGAAUAAUAUAAUUCUUUCCUUGA
rnacentral:tRNA from 1 species